rnacentral:rRNA from 1 species
CGGGACGGGUGAGUAACGCGUGGGUAACCUGCCUUGUACUGGGGACAACAGUUAGAAAUGACUGCUAAUACCGCAUAAGCGCACAGUAUCGCAUGAUACAGUGUGAAAAACUCCGGUGGUACAAGAUGGACCCGCGUCUGAUUAGCUAGUUGGUAAGGUAACGGCUUACCGAGGCGACGAUCAGUAGCCGACCUGAGAGGGUGACCGGCCACAUUGGGACUGAGACACGGCCCAA